GCCGCGGUAGCUCAGUUGGUAGAGCAUCCGACGCGCUAUUCGAAGGUCGCAGGUUCGGUCCCUGCCCGCGGCA
rnacentral:tRNA from 1 species